GACGAACGCUGGCGGCGUGCUUAACACAUGCAAGUCGAACGGAAAGGCCCUUCGGGGUACUCGAGUGGCGAACGGGUGAGUAACACGUGGGUGAUCUGCCCUGCACUUUGGGAUAAGCCUGGGAAACUGGGUCUAAUACCGGAUAGGACCACGGCAUUCAUGUGCUGUGGUGGAAAGCUUUUGCGGUGUGGGAUGGGCCCGCGGCCUAUCAGCUUGUUGGUGGGGUAAUGGCCUACCAAGGCGACGACAGGUAGCCGGCCUGAGAGGGUGACCGGCCACACUGGGACUGAGAUACGGCCCAGACUCCUACGGGAGGCAGCAGUGGGGAAUAUUGCACAAUGGGCGCAAGCCUGAUGCAGCGACGCCGCGUGAGGGAUGACGGCCUUCGGGUUGUAAACCUCUUUCGCCAGGGACGAAGCGCAAGUGACGGUACCUGGAGAAGAAGGACCGGCCAACUACGUG
rnacentral:rRNA from 1 species